UACAGAGGGUGCAAGCGUUAAUCGGAAUUACUGGGCGUAAAGGGCGCGUAGGUGGUUAUUUAAGUGAGGUGUGAAAUCCCCGGGCUUAACCUGGGACGUGCAUCUUAUACUGGAUAACUGGAGUGCAAUAGAGGGUAGUGGAAUUUCCGGUGUAGCGGUGAAAUGCGUAGAUAUCGGAAGGAACACCAGUGGCGAAGGCGGCUACCUGGAUUGACACUGACACUGAGGCGCGAGAGCGUGGGGAGCAAACAGG
rnacentral:rRNA from 1 species